rnacentral:tRNA from 1 species
GGGGGGGUGGCGGAACUGGCAGACGCACAGGACUUAAAAUCCUGCGAUUGGAGACGAUCGUACGGUUCGAUUCCGGUCCUCGGCA